CAGAGCCACUUCCAGGAAAUGAUGCCCGAAAAUCCCACACACACUUGAAAACCUGAGAAAACUGAACUGAGAGGGGGAUCAGGAUAUGUGAGUGAGUGUGUGCGCAUGUAAAUGAGUUGGAAUUGUUGCUUUUUCAUCAUGAGUCUCAAAAGCAGGAGAUUCUCACUGGACAGCUCUGUCUCUCAGAAUGGAGGUGGACUCUUUGGUGUGAAGAGAAGCAGCGGGAAGAAAUCGAGACACAGCCAGAGUCUGGACGAGGCCCGACUGGAGAUCCAGGAGUUUAAUCACAGCCUCCACUCCAGCAUGUCCGUCAGGGAUAAGACCAUAGCAGAGGAGAGCCAGGAGGGAUCACAUGAAAUUAUGAAUCAUAGCUCACAGAAACACAAUAAAAGCUUCCACAAGCUGUUCCCAGAUAUUCCCGAGGGGGAGAACCUGACACACGUGUUCACCUGUGCCUUGCAGAAGGAGGUGCUGUAUCACGGAAAACUCUUUGUUUCCAAGAGCCACGUGUGUUUUUACUCAUCCGUGCUGCUCAAAGACACCAAGGUGGUGCUUCCUACGUCCAGUGUCAGGGAGGUGAAGAAACAGAACUCAGCUUUGUCCAUGCUGUCGAUCCAAACCGCUGAUGGAGAGAAGUACUCAUUUCUGUCUUUGAGGAACCGUGAGAUGUGCUACGAACUCCUGGAAAGCCUCUGCUCAUAUGCACAGGGAGAGAGUCCAAACAGCAGCCCUCGCCUCUCCUUUGCAGAAAAUCCAGCCGAUCACGAUGUGGUCUCCAGUUAUUCCAGUCUGGACGAGAGCGUGGAUCGAGAUCUGGGUCGACAAAACUGCAUCGAUUAUGAAAACUUUCCUGAGAUAGCCAGUGAAGGUGCAACAAGAUGCAGUUCCACUCCUCACUCAAUGGAUAAAAACAAAAGAGCUGUAUCGUGGAUCUGGAGCGUCGUUGAGAAGGCGGCGUCAUUGGUCUUCCUCAGAGAAAUGAGGAAUCUCAGCGUUUUCUUCUACAUGUACUUUAUGUUAAUUGUGAUGCUGCUGUUGGCGUCUGGCUACUUGUCGCUGAAGAUCUUAGCGCUGGAGGAGCAGCUGAACUCUUUGGGAGCCCAGACUGAGCUGUUUCUGCACCACAGAGAGUGAGUAGCCACACCAACAUGAAGAACAGAGAGAAGGAAGUCUGCUGGGGAUCGGUCAGGCGGAAGAAAAGUACCAGGAGACGUAGCCUGUGGCAGAGGAUUGAUUCUUCCAGGAAAUCGUGCAAUGUGCCACUGGGUUCAGAUCCCACCCUGAGCCCUGUCUAGACACACUCCCCAAAGCAUCUGAACACUGAUACACACUACAUCUUGUCCAUAAACUUACUGCUAUUGCACAUAUUGCUUCCCUUACUGUAGAUAUUUAAACUCCUGUACUUACACCAUGUUAUGCAGAGAGAGAUUUGUUAGACGUGCACUGAUUCAGAUCUAAAACAGAAGCAGGCCUCGCCUGCUCUGAACCAUAACAACUCGUCAUGUUUGACUCCUGGCCGGUGAACAGCUGAGCUCAGCUUGCAGAGGCUGCAGUUUGACCGUCGUGUUCUCACGUGUACACACGCUCAUCAAGGAGAAGAAGAUAAACAAAGCACUUUUGUUGUUCGGUUGAUUUUAACUUCAUUUUAUAUUUUUUGAAUUUUCUCACUGUGUAAUUUAACAACUGCAGGCUGGUGUUUGGAAUGACUGUUAAUGACCGCAAUCAGCCAGCAGAGGGCAGUCACUUCCAUUCAAACUUGAUUGGUACAUGAGCUACAAUGACGAUUUCAUUUGCACUUCAAAGAGUUUCAAGCUCAAGAAAUAAUAUUAUAUACGUUGUAAAAGUUUUACUACAGACCUUAUGGCAUAUCAUUCCUGUAAAUAAAUACUUGCUAUUUAGGUCUUAUUCUGUAUAUUUGAUAAAAGCAUUGAUUUUAUGUCAUCUGUAAUAAUAUCUGAAUAUUUUUCACAACUUUUUCCAGAUUUAUAAAACUACGUUUUACGACUGUAUUAGCCAGUCGUAGUGCCUGCAUUACAUCAAAGACUGUGAUUGAAUGUAUUAUCAAAAACCCAGUGUCAGUGCAGUCAUGUCAUACAAACUUUUCAUUGUCCAUAAAACCUUCCUGACAAUA